rnacentral:rRNA from 1 species
UACGUAGGGUGCGAGCGUUAAUCGGAAUUACUGGGCGUAAAGUGUGCGCAGGCGGCCGAGCAAGUCGAGUGUGAAAGCCCCGGGCUUAACUUGGGAACUGCGCUCGAAACUACUUGGCUAGAGUGUGGCAGAGGGAGGUGGAAUUCCACGUGUAGCGGUGAAAUGCGUAGAGAUGUGGAGGAACACCGAUGGCGAAGGCAGCCUCCUGGGCCAACACUGACGCUCAUGCACGAAAGCGUGGGGAGCAAACAGG